GUUCGAUCAUAGCUCCGUUGAACGCUGGCGGUACUGCACAUGCACAAGUCGAACAGCACGGACUUCAGUCUGGUGGCGAGUGGCGAACGGGUGAGUAAUGUAUCGGAACGUGCCUAGUAGCGGGGAUAACUACGCGAAAGCGUAGCUAAUACCGCGCCGCGCCCUUCGGGGAAAGCGGGGGACCUUCGGGCCUCGCGCCGAGCAUGAUAUGGUUAAUAGUUGGUGGAGUAACGGCUCACCAAGGCGACUGAUCCGUAGCUGGUUUGAGAGGACGACCAGCCACACUGGGACUGAAGACACGUGAACUCCUACGGGAGGCAGCGUGGGAAUUUUGGACAAUGGGGAAACCUGAUCCAGCCAUCCCGCGUGUGCGAUGAGCCUUCGGGUUUAUGCGCAGCUUGCAUUGGCAGGAAGAAACGGCUGGGAUAUUACCCCGUGCGAGCGGCGGUACCUGCAGAAUAAGCACCGGCUAACUACGUGCCGACAGCCGCGGUAAUACGUAGGGUGCAAGCGUUAAUCGGAAUUACUGGGCGUAAAGCGUGCGCGAGCGGUUCGGAAAGAAAGGUCUUGAAAUCGAGCUUAACUUUGGAGACUGCAUUUUUAACUACCGAGCUAGAGUGUGUCAGAGGAGGUGGAAUUCCGCACGUGUAGCAGUGAAAUGCGUAGAUAUGCGGAGGAACACCGAUGGCGAAGGCAGCCUCCUGGGAUAACACUGACACUCAUGCACGAAAGCAUUAUAGGGAGCAAACAGGAUUAGAUACCCUGUUAGUCCCGCGCCCUAAACGAUCACCAACUAGCUGUUGGGGCCUUCGAGCCUUAGUAGCGCAACUAACGCGACAAGAUUGACCGCCUGGGAGAGUACGGUCGCAAGAUUAAAACUCAAAGGAAUUGACGGGGACCCGCACAAGCGGUGGAUGAUGUGGAUUAAAUUUGAUGCAACGCGAAAAGCCUUACCUACCGCCCGGCAUGUCUGGAAUCCCGAAGAGAUUUGGGGGUGCUCGCAAGAGAACCGGAACACAGGUGCUGCAUGGCUGUCGUCAGCUCGUGUCGUGAAGGAUGUUAAGGUUAAGUCCGCAGCGGGCGCAGCCCUUGUCAUUAGUUGCUACGAAGGGCACUCCUAAUGAGACUGCCAGUGACAAACCGGAGGAAGAAAGUGGGGAUGACGUCAAGUCCUCAUGGCCCUUAUGGGUAGGGCUUCACACGUCAUGCAAUGGUCGGGGACAGGAGGUCGCCAACCCGCGAGGAGAGCCAAUCCCAGAGGCGAUCGUAGUCCGGAUCACGCAGUCCUGCUUUCGACUGCGCCGUGAAGUCGGAAUCGCUAGUAAUCGCGGAUCAGCAUGUCGCGGGUAGACCGUUCCCGGGUCUUGUACACACCGCCCCGUCACACCAUGGGAGUGGGUUUUACCAGAAGUAGUUAGCCUAACCGUAAGGAGGCGAUUACCACGGUAGGAUUCAUGACUGGGGUGAAGUCGUAACAAGGUAG
rnacentral:rRNA from 1 species